UUCAGUCUGAUUCUCAUUUACCUGUCUGAUUGUUGUUUCGUUUGUUGUUUACUUUAAUGUAGGAUGUGAAGUGCCAAGGCUGCUUCAACAUUACUACAGUCUUCAGUCACUCGCAGACUGUUGUCGUAUGCGGAAACUGCCAUACAAUUCUGUGCCAGCCUACAGGAGGAAAGGCGAAGCUCACUGAAGGAUGCUCUUUCAGGA